rnacentral:rRNA from 1 species
GCGCUCUGCGCGCACCGGCGGUACGGCUCAGUAACACGNUCGGUAACCUACCCUCGGGAGGGGGAUAACCCCGGGAAACUGGGGCUAAUCCCCCAUAGGCCUGGGGUACUGGAAGGUCCUCAGGCCGAAAGGGCGUAAGCCGCCCGAGGAUGGGCCGGCGGCCGAUUAGGUAGUUGGUGGGGUAACGGCCCACNAAGCCAAAGAUCGGUACGGGCCAUGAGAGUGGGAGCCCGGAGAUGGACACUGAGACACGGGUCCAGGCCCUACGGGGCGCAGCAGGCGCGAAACCUCCGCAAUGCGCGCAACCGCGACGGGGGGACCCCCAGUGCCGUGGCAUCGNCNCGGCUUUUCCGGAGUGCAAAAAGCUCNNGGAAUAAGGNCUGGGCAAGGCCNGUGGCAGCCNCCGCGGUAAUACCGGCGGCCCUGAGUGGUGGCCNCUAUUAUUGGGCCUAAAGCGUCCGUANCCGGNCCCGUNAGUCCCUGNCNAAAU